AGAGUUUGAUCCUGGCUCAGAUUGAACGCUGGCGGCAUGGCUAAAACAUGCAAGUCGCACGAGAACCCACCUUCGGGUGGGGGACAGUGGCGUAAGGGCGAGGAAUGCAAUCGAAUGUGCUCCGAGGUGGAGGAUAGCGUCGAGAAAUCGGCAGUAAUACUCCAUGUCCUCUUCGGAGAAAAGGUUUACCGCCUUGGGAGCAGCGAUUGUCCUAUCAGGUUGUUGGUGAGGUAAAGGCUCACCAAGCCAAAGACGGGUAGCGGGUGUGAGAGCAUGACCCGCCGCAUCGGGACUGAGACACUGCCCGGACUCCUACGGGAGGCUGCAGUAACGAAUAUUCCGCAAUGGGCGAAAGCCUGACGGAGCAAUGCCGCGUGUGGGAUGAAGCACCUUUGGUGUGUAAACCACUGUCAGAAUCUCGGAACACUGACCAGAUUCAAAGGAAGGACCGGCUAAUUCCGUGCCAGCAGCCGCGGUAAUACGGAAGGUCCAAGCGUUAAUCGGAAUUACUGGGCUUAAAGCGUGCGCAGGCGGACCAGCAAGCGUCUUGUGAAAUCCCUCGGCUCAACCGGGGAACUGCAGGGCGAACUGCUGGUCUUGAGUCAGGUAGGGGCCGACAGAACUAUCGGUGGAGCGGUGAAAUGCGUAGAUAUCGAUGGGAAUGCCAGUGGCGAAGGCGGUCGGCUGGGCCUGUACUGACGCUCAUGCACGAAAGCGUGGGGAGCGAACGGGAUUAGAUACCCCGGUAGUCCACGCUGUAAACGAUGCGCACUAGAUCGCGGUGGCUCUCACGCCUUCGCGGUCGAAGUAAAAACAAUAAGUGCGCCGCCUGGGGAGUACGGUCGCAAGGCUAAAACUCAAAGGAAUUGACGGGGGCUCACACAAGCGGUGGAGCAUGUUGCUUAAUUCGAGACAACGCGAAGAACCUUACCAGGGUUUGACAUGCAUGGAUUAGCUCUUGGAAACUUGAGUAACGCCCUUUGGGUGGAACAUGCACAGGUGCUGCAUGGCUGUCGUCAGCUCGUGCUGUGAAGUGUCGGGUUAAGUCCCUUAACGAGCGCAACCCCUAUCGUUAGUUGCUAACAGGUUAUGCUGAGUACUCUAGCGAGACUGCCGGUGUCAAACCGGAGGAAGGUGGGGAUGACGUCAAGUCCUCAUGGCCCUUAUGUCCUGGGAUGCAAACGUGCUACAAUGGCGUGUACAGAGCGACGCAAACUCGCGAGAGUGAGCAAAUCGCAAAAAGCACGCCCCAGUUCGGAUUGCAGGCUGCAACUCGCCUGCAUGAAGUUGGAAUCGCUAGUAAUCGUGGAUCAGCUACGCCACGGUGAAUACGUUCCUGAGCCUUGUACACACCGCCCGUCACGUCAUGGAAGCCGGGAGCGCCCGAAGUCGCCCCAUCUCAGGGGUGCCUACGGCGAGAUCGGUGACUGGGACGAAGUCGUAACAAGGUA
rnacentral:rRNA from 1 species